AACCCUACUUGCUAGUUACCAUCAUUAAGUUGGGGACUCUAGCGAGACUGCCAGUGAUAAACUGGAGGAAGGUGGGGAUGACGUCAAAUCAUCAUGCCCCUUAUGACCUGGGCUACAAACGUGAUACAAUGGCUGGAACAAAGGGAUGCGAAGCAGUGAUGUGGAGCGAAACCCAUAAAAACAGUCUCAGUUCGGAUUGAAGUCUGCAACUCGACUUCAUGAAGUCGGAAUCGCUAGUAAUCGCGGAUCAGAACGCCGCGGUGAAUACGUUCUCGGGGUUU
rnacentral:rRNA from 1 species